rnacentral:piRNA from 1 species
UGGGAUUAAAGGCAUGCGGCACCACC